UACGUAGGGUGCGAGCGUUGUCCGGAAUUAUUGGGCGUAAAGAGCUUGCAGGCGGUCUGUCGCGUCUGCUGUGAAAAUCCGGGGCUCAACCCCGGACUUGCAGUGGGUACGGGCAGACUAGAGUGGGGUAGGGGAGACUGGAAUUCCUGGUGUAGCGGUGAAAUGCGCAGAUAUCAGGAGGAACACCGAUGGCGAAGGCAGGUCUCUGGGCCACUACUGACGCUGAGAAGCGAAAGCAUGGGGAGCGAACAGG
rnacentral:rRNA from 1 species